GAAGUGGCUCAGAUGAUCGCUCUCCGCAGGGUCUCACGAUCCUGGCGCGGGGGAGGAAAGUCCGAGCUCCAAAGGGCAGGGUGGUCGCUAACGGCGACUGGGGGGCGACCCUAAGGAAAGUGCCACAGAAAAUAAACCGCCUGGCAUCUUACGGAUGCCCGGUAAGGGUGAAACGGCGAGGUAAGAGCGCACCGCUUCGAUGGCGACAUCGAAGGCAUGGUAAACCCCACCCGGAGCAAGACCAAAUAGGAGAGCGCGAGGGAGGCGAAAGCCUUCUUCUAAGGGCGGCCCGCCCGAGCUCUCGGGUAAGGUCGCUAGAACCGGCUGGCAACAGACGGUCCAGAGAAAUGAUCAUCACCUCGACGCAGGUCGGGGAACAGAACUCGGCUUAUGAGCAACUUCGACU
rnacentral:RNase_P_RNA from 1 species